rnacentral:rRNA from 1 species
CUUGGAAUUGCUUUAAAACUGCUAAUCUAGAGAUUGAAAGAGGAUAGAGGAAUUCCUAGUGUAGAGGUGAAAUUCGUAAAUAUUAGGAGGAACACCAGUGGCGAAGGCGUCUAUCUGGUUCAAAUCUGACGCUGAGGCGCGAAGGCGUGGGGAGCAAACAGAAUUAGAUACCCUGGUAGUCCACGCUGUAAACGAUGAAUGUUAAAUAUGGGAAGUUUUACUUUCUGUAUUACAGCUAACGCGUUAAACAUUCCGCCUGGGGACUACGGUCGCAAGAUUAAAACUCAAAGGAAUCGACGGGGACCCGCACAAGCGGUGGAGCAUGUGGUUUAAUUCGAUGCAACGCGAAAAACCUUACCACUCCUUGACAUGGAAAUUAUACCUAUUCGAAGGGAUAGGGUCGGUUCGUCCGGGUUUCACACAGGUGUUGCAUGGCUGUCGUCAGCUCGUGUCGUGAGAUGUUGGGUUAAGUCCCGCAACGAGCGCAACCCUCAUCCUUAGUUACCACCAGGUAAUGCUGGGGACUUUAAGGAAACUGCCAGUGAUAAACUGGAGGAAGGUGGGGAUGAUGUCAAGUCAUCAUGGCCCUUAUGGAGUGGGCUACACACGUGCUACAAUGGUGGCUACAAUGGGCUGCAAAGUCGCGAGGCUAUGCUAAUCCCUUAAAAGCCAUCUCAGUUCGGAUUGUACUCUGCAACUCGAGUGCAUGAAGUUGGAAUCGCUAGUAAUCGUGGAUCAGCACGCCACGGUGAAUACGUUCUCGGGUCUUGUACACACUGCCCGUCACGCCAUGGGAAUUGGUUUCACUCGAAGCUAACGACCUAACCGCAAGGAGGGAGUUAUUUAAAGUGGGAUCGGUGACUGGGGUGAAGUCGUAACAAGGUAGCAGUAGGGGAAUCUGCGGC